UACGUAGGGUGCAAGCGUUGUCCGGAAUUAUUGGGCGUAAAGAGCUCGUAGGUGGUUCGGUAAGUCGGAUGUGAAAUCUCCAGGCUCAACCUGGAGGGGUCAUUCGAUACUGCCGUGACUAGAGGUCGGUAGGGGAGUGUGGAAUUCCUGGUGGAGCGGUGAAAUGCGCAGAUAUCAGGAGGAACACCCGUAGCGAAGGCGGCACUCUGGGCCGAUACUGACACUGAGGAGCGAAAGCGUGGGGAGCGAACAGG
rnacentral:rRNA from 1 species